GUAGAAAAACGAAAGGUCACUGCAUGAUAAGAAAAGAAUCAAUUCAACAAGAAGAUAUUAGAAUCCUAAAUUUAUAUGCACCUAACUCUGGAGUGCCCAGAUUCAUAAAACAUUUACUGCUAGACCUCAGAAAUUGGAUAGACAGCCACACAAUAGUAGCAGGGGACUCCAACACACCACUGACAGCACCAGACGGAUCAUCGAGACUGAAAGUCAACAAAGAAACUAUGAAUUUAAACUACGCUCUGGAACAAAUGGACCUAACAGAUAUUUACAGAGCAUUCUAUCCAAGAACUGCAGAAAAUCAUACAGGAUGUGAGGCUCCACCAGCAGAGAACAGAGAAGGGGAGAAGAGGAAAAGCAGCUGGACGUCGGGGACUGCGGUUUGACGUCGGAGAGAAGCAGCUUGACUUCAGAGGGACAGCUUGACCGCUUUGCUUUGGAGAGGAGUCUGGCUGGGGAUGGCUGGACUCCAGGGGAAGAUCGUCUUCCUGUUCCAUCCCUUUUCCAGCUCCCCUCCCACUGAGAGCCACUUUCAUUGGCAAUAAAAUCCUCCAUAUUCACCACCCUUCAAUUCGUUCAUGCGACCUGAUUUUUCCUGGAUGCCAAACAAGAGCCCAGGUGCCACAGGUGUGGAUACUAAAGGCUGUCACACUGACCCUUUGCCCUUGCUGGCAGAGAGCAACCACUUCAUGCAAAAAGGCAGAGGGCCCACUGAGGUAUUUAACACUUAAGCUGUCCGUGGACAGCCAAGCUAAAAGAACACUGUAACACACUCCCUCUGGGGCUUCUGGGGUCCCUGGUAUUCCUGACGAGACACUGUCAUGGGGCCUGCAGGGAGUUUUGCUCCUGCCAACACCCAAAAGCACUCUUUCUGGCUCCUGCACCCGCUCACCUGCGUGCUUCCCCUUCCCUCAAGGGCUUGAGAGCUGCAGGCUGAGUAAGUAGGCACCCUUGUCACGAGGUCCAAAAAGGGAUCAAGGAAAAUUUCCUGUUUCAGUGCUUUGGCAAAAACUUGAGUCAAUGAUACAGAAAAGUUAUGAGAGUUGAAAUCCUUGUCUAGUUCCCACUCAUAAUUCACUGAUUUUUAUUUCUGUAGUUUAUAAUCUGAGGUUAAUUCUAUCCAAUAAUAUUUUCAUUGUAGUAAUUGGGUAAUUUUUAUAUUUAGAUAUUGCUUUUGGUUUCUUUUUUGUAACGUCCAGUUCUCCAUUUUUUUGGUACAUAUAAAUAAAUAUAAUAACUCUUUUAAUGUUAUUAUUUGAUAAUUUAAUCAUCUCUGUCAAUUCUAUGUUUCUAUUGACUAUUUCCCCCCCAAUCGUAAGUCUAAUUUUCUUGUUUGUAUGUGCAGUAGUUAAAAAAUUCAAAUUAAAAAUAUUGCAAAUUUCUGGCCAGGUGUGGUGGCUCAUGCUUGUAACCCCAGCAUUUUGGGAGGUGGAGGCAGGCAAAUCACUUGAGGUCUGGAGUUCUCCAGCCUGGCCAACAAGGUGAAACCUGUCUCUACUAAAAAUACAAUUAG
rnacentral:lncRNA from 1 species